rnacentral:tRNA from 1 species
CAAAAUGUAGCUUAAAUAAAGCAUCUCGCUUACACCGAGAUAAUACCCGUGAAACUCGAGUCAUUUUGA